GGCGGUUCUCAGGUGACGCACCCUGGAAUUGGGCUCCCUCCUCUCUGGUUCCGGGUGCAUCACCUGAGAACCAAA
rfam:Myotis lucifugus cont2.64698, whole genome shotgun sequence.